UACGGGGGGGGGCAAGCGUUGUUCGGAAUUACUGGGCGUAAAGGGCUCGUAGGCGGCCAACUAAGUCGAACGUGAAAUCCCUGGGCUCAACCCAGGAACUGCGUCCGAGACUGGAGGGCUCGAAUCCGGGAGAGGGAUGUGGAAUUCCAGGUGUAGCGGUGAAAUUCGUAGAUAUUCGCAAGAACACCAGUGGCGAAGGCGGCUCACUGGCCCGAUACUGACGCUGAGGCACGAAAGCGUGGGGAGCAAACAGG
rnacentral:rRNA from 1 species